GUGAGCAACACUCACCUGGUCAGUGAAGCUGAGCAAAACUGCCCUGCUCAGACCUGAACUGGCCUGAGACAGAGACAGAAAGGGGCAGGCAAGGGCAGUCUCAGACUCCCAGAGAGGAGAACAGCAAGUUUCUGUUCCACCUACUUCCGCUGACCUACCCUUCACAGAGCUGGGGCUGGUGUUUAAUCUGCACAGGCUGCAUGAAGUUUUGCAUCCUCUUUCCUGGAGCCUGGCCUGGCCUGGAUGUUAGAGUUCAUGCUGCACCCUGGGAGGGUGAAAGCUGGCCCCACUCAGAGCUGUCCAUGCCACUCCCAGGCCCCAGCAAAUAGCAGGUGUCAGUGAGCGGGUGAGAGGCAUGUCUUCUGCCUCCUGGGACUCUGAGCUUCCUAGAACUGGGGCCACAUUUCCUGCCUUAUCUGUUUUCUCCACUGAGCAGGGCUGGGGCUGGAGGGGGCACGUGUGGGGCCAGCCAGCAGGAGCCCGAGGCGAGAGGGUCUGAACCCCCUGCCUCAGAGCCUACCGGCAGAGAGACCAGGGGCCUUUCAUUUCCCAGCAUCCCCGACAUCCUGCUCAUCUGCUGCAGAAACAAUGAACACGGGAAAAGGGCAGGAUGUCCCAGAGGUCGUCGUCAAUGGCACACGUGCCAUGAUCUCAUCAGCUCCUGAAAAACAAUGACUCGACCUUCUGAGGGCCCCAACUGAGCUCUGGACAGACGAGAGACGGGCCAGGGCUGCGAGGAGGCAGAGAGGCAAGGGCUUCGGCCUCCCCAUUUCCAAGCUUGCAUUCCCAGGAGUCCAUUCAUAUGU
rnacentral:lncRNA from 1 species